ensembl:snRNA U6 U6 spliceosomal RNA
GUACUGGCUUUGGAAGCACACAUACUAAAAUUGGAAUAAUACAGGGAAGAUUAGUAUGGCCCCUGUGGCAAGGAUGACACACAAAUUCAUGAAGUCUUCUGUAUUGUU